CAAUAGCGUAUAUUUAAGUUGUUGCAGUUAAAAAGCUCGUAGUUGGAUUUCUGCUGAUCGCUGUCGGUCUGCCGUCAGGUGUGUACUGGCAGUGUUUGGCAUCUAUUCAAGAUUGGGUGUCCACUUGAUUGUGUGCACUCGAUGUCGGAGCUAAUACUUUGAGAAAAUUAGAGUGUUCCACGCAGGCGCGUGCCUUGAAUACUGCAGCAUGGGAUAUUGGAAGGCCGAUUGAGCUUUCUUGUUGGUUCUCGGUUUGAUCGGAAUGAUUAAUAGGGAUAGUUGGGGGCAUUCGUAUUCAACUGUCAGAGGUGAAAUUCUUGGAUUUGUUGAAGACGGACUACUGCGAAAGCAUCUGCCAUGGAUGUUCUCAUUGA
rnacentral:rRNA from 1 species